UACGUAGGGCGCGAGCGUUGUCCGGAAUUAUUGGGCGUAAAGAGCUCGUAGGCGGCUUGUCACGUCGGGUGUGAAAGACCGGGGCUUAACUCCGGUUCUGCAUUCGAUACGGGCAGGCUAGAGUUCGGUAGGGGAGACUGGAAUUCCUGGUGUAGCGGUGAAAUGCGCAGAUAUCAGGAGGAACACCGGUGGCGAAGGCGGGUCUCUGGGCCGAUACUGACGCUGAUGUGCGAAAGCGUGGGGAGCAAACAGG
rnacentral:rRNA from 1 species